GCUGUGGUAGGUGGUAGCGAGACAAAAGUGAACAUGGCAGGUUUCCUUCCUUGUGUAACCUCAAGUUUAUCGCAGGUCCCUUAGUUUCUUGGAACUUCCAUUUCUUCAACUGUAAUAUAAGGAAAAUAAUAGUACUGUUACCGGAAUGGGGUCCUGAUCAAGACUCCAGAGAUGGUUCUUGGAUCUCACACAAGAAAGAAUUCAAGGCAAAUUCAUACGGCAAAGUGAAAAUCUCUUGCCACUCAGCUACUAACCCAGUUUUUCUCUCCACCGCCACCUGCUCAGCUUUUAAUGUAUGAAACUUCUAGGGAAGUUUCAGAUGGGAGAAAUAAAGGAGUUAAAAACAUGCUGCCUCAAAAUAUGCUCCUCUGGCAUAUUGACUAUUAUG
rnacentral:lncRNA from 1 species